AAAUCCUUCACCCUGGUGCUUAUUGAUUAGAAACUCUCAAUGAAACUAUUGUCCUUUGAAUGUGGAAUGCGGACAAUCGAAGAAUGUACUAUCAAUGAAGUUAUCCACAUGUACAAUAUAUUUGAAAUGAUAUGAUUGAUUUUCAAUAAAUUCUCGACUGGAUAUAUGAUAUUUGACCAACGACUAAUCAACCAAUAUACAUACCGAUCCAAUCCC
rnacentral:lncRNA from 1 species